UUCCAAAGUAAAAAUUAUCUUACAACUCGCUAAAAGAACUUUUAAUGAAAACAACUCAAAUUGUUUUACUCCUGACUAGUCAUUGGGCUUUUAGAAUUUAUAUACUUCGUGUGUUUAUCAUUUUAGCACUAAGUCAUAGAAAUUUGGUUUUUUUUUUCGAAAAACAUAUUUAAAAAUGUGAAAAUGCAAAAAAAAUUCAAAUCCUAUAGCAGUUUGGGUUGUUCUUCAGUCAUCUCGACAGGUGGAGCAGAUCCUAUGGUUCUAUAGGUGCGGAUUUCGGCUCAAAGGGUCCUAAUAGAACGCUCUAUUUCAGAAUCAAAAGAUACUAAUUC
rnacentral:lncRNA from 1 species